rnacentral:rRNA from 2 species
CAUAACGACUCUCGGCAACGGAUAUCUCGGCUCUCGCAUCGAUGAAGAACGUAGCGAACUGCGAUACUUGGUGUGAAUUGCAGAAUCCCGUGAACCAUCGAGUCUUUGAACGCAAGUUGCGCCCGAAGCCAUUUGGACGAGGGCACGUUUGCCUGGGUGUCA